AGCGAACGCUGGCGGCGUGCCUAACACAUGCAAGUCGAACGUGAAAGGGAGCAAUCCCAAGUAAAGUGGCGUACGGGUGAGUAACACGUAGGUAAUCUACCCCAGAAUCUGGAAUAACCGGCCGAAAGGCUGGCUAAUACUGGAUAGAGCGACGGAAUCCGUAAUUGGGUUUUUCGGGAAAGGGAGCCUGUAAAAAGGCCUUCGUUCUGGGAUGAGCCUGCGUCCCAUCAGCUAGUUGGUGAGGUAAAAGCUUACCAAGGCAAUGACGGGUAGCUGGUCUGAGAGGACGGUCAGCCACACUGGGACUGAAACACGGUCCAGACUCCUACGGGAGGCAGCAGUGGGGAAUCUUGCGCAAUGGACGAAAGUCUGACGCAGCAACGCCGCGUGAGGGAAGAAGGCCUUCGGGUUGUAAAGCUCUGUCGAGUGGGACGAAAAUGCUUGGAGUUCACAGCUCCAGGAACUGACGGUACCACUAAAGGAAGCACCGGCUAACUCCGUG
rnacentral:rRNA from 1 species